GUGCUCGCUUCGGCUGCCCAUAUACUACAAUUGGAAUGAUAUAGAGAAGAUUAGCACGGCCCCUGUGCAAGGAUGACACGCAAAUUCGUGAAGUGUUCCGUAUUAAA